rnacentral:rRNA from 1 species
AUUGAACGCUGGCGGCAGGCCUAACACAUGCAAGUCGAGCGGAUGAAGGGAGCUUGCUCCUGGAUUCAGCGGCGGACGGGUGAGUAAUGCCUAGGAAUCUGCCUGGUAGUGGGGGAUAACGUCCGGAAACGGGCGCUAAUACCGCAUACGUCCUGAGGGAGAAAGUGGGGGAUCUUCGGACCUCACGCUAUCAGAUGAGCCUAGGUCGGAUUAGCUAGUUGGUGGGGUAAAGGCCUACCAAGGCGACGAUCCGUAACUGGUCUGAGAGGAUGAUCAGUCACAGGGGAACUGAGACGAGGUCCAGACCCCGAGGGGGGGCGGGAGGGGGAAAGUUUGAAAAAGGGCCGAAGCUCGAACCGACCAUUGCGGGGUGUGAAAGGAGGGUUUGGGGAUUUAAAGGCCUUUUAAGUUGGGAGGAAGGGAAAAAAUUAAUUCCUUUGCUUUUUUAGCUUGCCAAAAAAAUAGACACCGGGUAACUUUGGUC